GGUGAACGCUGGCGGUAGGCCUAACACAUGCAAGUCGAACGGCAGCACAGUAAGAGCUUGCUCUUACGGGUGGCGAGUGGCGGACGGGUGAGGAAUACAUCGGAAUCUACUUUUUCGUGGGGGAUAACGUAGGGAAACGUACGCUAAUACCGCAUACGACCUACGGGUGAAAGCAGGGGAUCUUCGGACCUUGCGCGAUUGAAUGAGCCGAUGUCGGAUUAGCUAGUUGGCGGGGUAAAGGCCCACCAAGGCGACGAUCCGUAGCUGGUCUGAGAGGAUGAUCCGCCACACUGGAACUGAGACACGGUCCAGACUCCUACGGGAGGCAGCAGUGGGGAAUAUUGGACAAUGGGCGCAAGCCUGAUCCAGCCAUACCGCGUGGGUGAAGAAGGCCUUCGGGUUGUAAAGCCCUUUUGUUGGGAAAGAAAAGCAGCAGGUUAAUACCCCGCUGUUCUGACGGUACCCAAAGAAUAAGCACCGGCUAACUUCGUG
rnacentral:rRNA from 1 species